CUGGAAAGAAAGCAGUUCCUGACAGAGCUAACCAGGCUCUUCCAGAAGUGCUGGUUGUCCGGAGGGAAGUAUAAUGGUCAAACAACCCAUUCCAAGAAAGGGUUCUGUGAAGGGCUUUGAGCCCUUAGACAAGUGUCUGUUAAAAGCUACUGAUAGAACAAGGAAGAUCAGCACUAUGCUGAGCUCCAAAGACAUUUUCAGAUGGCUUAUUCAAACCCACUGAGCUAACUGAUGGAC
rnacentral:lncRNA from 1 species